CUAAAGUUUUUAGUCGUCUUGAUUAUCAAAAUUUUAUCAAUGUUUUAAUUGGUUUAUUCAAGUGUGAUUUUGUUUAUUGAUUUUUAUUUAAUUUUUUUAUGUUAAACAGUGAGGGUUAAUAAUUUUUAUUUAUUUGUGAUAAAGAUUAAUUAACUUUACCUUUUGUAUCAGGGAUAAUUAAAUUAAUAUAUUUAUUUUAUGUUCUUGAAUAUAUUUGAUUUAAGAAAAUUAUUAUUAAUUUGUAGAAAAAAAUUUUUUUAGUUUUUCUUGGGAGUGAAAUGUUAAUUCGUUUGUAUAGAUAUCUAGUUUCUCGAGUGGAAAUAUAAUUUUUUUUUUGAAUUUUAAAUUUUUAUUGUUAUUAUUAUAUUUAAUUAAUUAUAUUUGAUUUUAUUAAUGUGGUUAAUUUAUUUUUUAGUUUAAGUUCAUUAGAGGUUAAAAAUGGGAUUAGCUUUUUUUAUAAUUAUAAUUUUAUUAUGUUUGUUUUAUUUAUGUUAUUUAAGUUUUAAUUUUUAGUAUUUAAUAAUAUAAUAUUUUGUUUGUUUUAUUGUUAGAAAUUUAUAUUUAUUUAAUUUUUUAUUAUUGAGAUUUAAUAAUAAAUUUAUUUUUUUUUAAUACUGUUUAUAUUAGUAGACAAUGUGUAAUAAUAUGAUGUGGAUAUUAAUGAGAUGUAUAUUUAUUUUUAUUUAUUUUAUUUUAAAGGGAGUGAAUUGAAUUGAGGAACUCGGCAAACUAUUAGUGUUUACCUGUUUAUCAAAUACAUGGUUUUAAGAUUUUGAAUUUAAAAUUUAUUCUGCUCAAUGAUGAAUAUUUAAAUGGCUGUUCUAAAUUGACUGUGUUAAAGUAGCAUAAUAAUUAGUUUAUUAAUUGUGAACUUGGAUGAAUGGAUGGAUGAAACAUUAGCUGUCUUUGUUUAAUAAAUGUUGAAUUUUAUGUUUUAGUUAAAAAGCUUAAUUGAUUUUAUGGGACGAGAAGACCCUGUAGAACUUUAUUUAAUUUAAUUAUAUAUUUUUAUUUAAGAAAUUAUUAAUUAAUAUUGGAUUUUAUUGGGGUGAUAGAUAGAAUUAAAAAAUUUUAUUUUUGAUAAUUACUUUAUGAAGGAUUAAAUUUUUAAUGUAUGAAUUUUUUUUUUUGAAUAAAAAUGAGUUACCUUAGGGAUAACAGCGUAAUUUAUGUGGAAAGUUCUUAUUAAUAUUUAAGUUUGCGACCUCGAUGUUGAAUUAAAAUUAAAAUUUGCAAAAGUUUGUGAAGUUUUAGGUCUGUUCGACCUUUAAAAUCUUACAUGAUUUGAGUUCAAACCGGUGUGAGCCAGGUUGGUUUCUAUCUUUUAAUUUUUUGUUUAAAUUAGUACGAAAGGACCAUUUAGUAUAAAUAAUUUA
rnacentral:rRNA from 1 species